UACGGGGGGAGCAAGCGUUGUUCGGAUUUACUGGGCGUAAAGGGCGCGUAGGCGGUCGUGACAAGUCACUUGUGAAAUCUCCGGGCUUAACUCGGAACGGUCAAGUGAUACUGUCGGACUAGAGUACAGAAGGGGCAACUGGAAUUCUCGGUGUAGCGGUGAAAUGCGUAGAUAUCGGGAGGAACACCAAUUGCGAAGGCAGCUCGCUGGGACGUUACUGACGCUGAGA
rnacentral:rRNA from 1 species